UUUAUUGGAGAGUUUGAUCCUGGCUCAGGAUGAACGCUGGCGGCGUGCCUAAUACAUGCAAGUCGAGCGAAUGGAUUAAGAGCUUGCUCUUAUGAAGUUAGCGGCGGACGGGUGAGUAACACGUGGGUAACCUGCCCAUAAGACUGGGAUAACUCCGGGAAACCGGGGCUAAUACCGGAUAACAUUUUGAACCGCAUGGUUCGAAAUUGAAAGGCGGCUUCGGCUGUCACUUAUGGAUGGACCCGCGUCGCAUUAGCUAGUUGGUGAGGUAACGGCUCACCAAGGCAACGAUGCGUAGCCGACCUGAGAGGGUGAUCGGCCACACUGGGA
rnacentral:rRNA from 2 species